CAUUUAUUUAACCAUCUACAGAGCAGAGACAUCAAAAGAAAUUUAGAAAAGAUUCCAAAACUGCAACUUGGUGUCUGCCCUUCCACAAGGUGAGCACUCCCAGCUCUCCCAGCCUGGCUCCAGAGCAGAGGGGCUCCAGCCCUCAGAGCACUUUCCAAUAGCCUGGUCCCUGUGGUCAAUCUGCAGCUGAGAAGAGGGAAAAUCCCCGUGUGUCAUGAGCUGCAGCAGAAAAGAGCAUGGCCGUAAGCAGCCGGCUCCAACCUGGGGCAGCCCUGGGAGAGUGACUUAGUGAAACAAUGUGAAAUAUGAAAGGGGCAGGAGACCCUUUCGUCCUCGUAGGUGCAAGGUCUAUCUGACAGAAAGACUGACUCAGGCCUCUGAGGGAGUUUCUAGGGUAAAGUGGGAUUUCUUCCAGUAGAUGCUGUAUUAUCACCCCUCAGCACCACCCUCUAUUCCAUGCCUAAAUUUACAAUCUUUCUAAAACAUCACUACAAGUUUACAUCUUUAAAGCACUUUGUGCUGCUAGUGAAAAUUCAACCAACAUCACAGCUCUGAAAAACAGAGAGAGGAAAAGGAGUCUCCUGACUAAGUCACUUCUCUGAGUGCUCAGGAGGAGCUGAUGGAGCCCAGCCUGCUUUAAAUGACAAAAGUUGGGGGAGCUAUCAGCCAGAAACACACUCCUUGUGCUGCCAGCCAGGUUCAAGCCUCUUCCCCCUUCCUCAUCACAGAGCCUUUGUCCUCUCGCCAGAAGCCUGCCCGCAGGCAACAUCCAGCUUUCUAAUAAAGCAGCUCCUUUGUCAAUGACAGCAAUGAUUAUCUCCUACAGCUGCCCGUGGUGUUGCAUUUUGUAACACAAUUUGGCCGCCUUUGGCCCCGGUUAGUUCUAUUUAACGUACUGCAGGGGGUUCACUGUUUGAUCUCUAAUUGAUAUAAUUGACUGGGAAUAAUCAGGGCAGCUUUAUAGAUUUUUAUUGAUAGCUAAUUUUCCUUCAUCCAUUGUUUAAUUUGAUAAGACUAUAACCUAAUUUAUUGCCACUCUGAUAGGGAUCCAUUACCCUUUUGACAAAUGCUUCUGGGGCCCACUUGUCAGCAACUGAUUUGAAAGAGCUGUUAAGCCUACAGAGCCCAUCAUUAGUUAAUGGCAGUUUAGAAAGCUAAUGGCAUUAUAAAUUAAGAUCAAUAAGUACAUGGAAAUUACAGUUGUUCAGCAAGACACCACUGUAUUAUUAAACAAACAUAAUCCUGUACCUUUGGUUAAUGCACACACGGGGAGUUUCUGAGUGAGUUUCAGAGCCGAAUAAAGCCAGGUGAUUAGCAAA